CAAUAGCGUAUAUUAAAGUUGUUGCAGUUAAAAAGCUCGUAGUUGAAUUUCGGGUCCCCGCGCUCGGCGCUUCAUUGUGCCGUCGUGGUGUCCCUCCUCGCCGUAAGGCGUCCUUUACUGUGAAAAAAUUAGAGUGUUCAAAGCAGGCAAUCGCUUGAAUACAUUAGCAUGGAAUAAUAAGAUAGGAUCUUGUCUAUUUUGUUGGUUGCGGACAACGAUAAUGAUUAAUAGGGAUAGUUGGGGGUGACCGUAUUGAGCUGUCAGAGGUGAAAUUCUUGGAUUUGCUCAAGACGAACUACUGCGAAAGCAUUCACCAAGGAUGUUUUCAUUAA
rnacentral:rRNA from 1 species